CCUACGGGAAGCAGCAGUGGGGGAUAUUGCACAAUGGGGGGAACCCUGAUGCAGCGACGCCGCGUGGGUGAAGAAGCGCCUCGGCGCGUAAAGCCCUGUCAGCAGGGAAGAAAAUGACGGUACCUGAAGAAGAAGCCCCGGCUAACUACGUGCCAGCAGCCGCGGUAAUACGUAGGGGGCAAGCGUUAUCCGGAUUUACUGGGUGGAAAGGGGGCGCAGACGGCGAUGCAAGCCAGGAGUGAAAGCCCGGGGCCCAUCCCCGGGACUGCGCUUGGAACUGCGUGGCUGGAGUGCAGGAGGGGCAGGCGCACUUCCUGGUGUAGCGGUGAAAUGCGUCGAUAUCAGGAGGAACACCGGUGGCGAAGGCGGCCUGCUGGACUGCAACUGACGUUGAGGCCCGAAAGCGUGGGGAGCAAACAGGAUUAGAUACCCCUGUAGUC
rnacentral:rRNA from 1 species